GUGAGAACCCGUCAAAUAUCUGAGAAUUAAAUUGCGGACCGCAAAUAGGUGGUGUUAACAAACUCACACGUAAAAUGGAUUUAGCACUACUGCUGGAUAAGUGAAUUUCAUUGUUUAGUCAAGCCCCAAAGCCCGGCUUAUGACUCUGAAGGUACUGAACUUGAUAUAUUUGAUACACAAGGCACCCUUCAAGGAGGAAGUGUGAGAAGAUAAAACGGAAGCGUUGCAGAGCUCUCUUUCCAGAUUGAAUUCAGGAUGAUCAAGCUGAAGAUAGCCUCCAAAAGGAGUGAACUCCACUGUAACAAAUUGGUGACUAAUUUGGAAACUUGAGCACCUGGUAAAUACACCUUGGCUUGCAAUUCUGAUGAUUAAAGUUUGCUGGGGUAAUUGAAAUGUCAGUCCCCAUGCAGGAACCUUCCACAUGACCUGUACAGUCAUAUGU